AAAUAAACAUUUUUAAAAAUUUAAUUAAAAAAAAAUGGCUCCUGUGUCCAAAAAUUAUUAGCUGCCAUACAUGUGCUGGUCUCUCAGGCUAUUAUUAAGCUGGCCAGGCAUUCCAGACUCAGAUCCCUGGAGGACAAAAUAAACCACCUUGCUGAUGUUUCUGCCCCAAAUGCUGCUCUCCAGAAAGCCAAUAGCUAAACCUCUGUCAUGGUCCAAAGGGACAUUCUCCCACACGAUAAUUUGGAAACGACUGACCAGAGAUAUCCAAUAACUGGCUCCAGAAAAGGAAAAAAAACAACAUUGGGAAUCUAAUAAUUGUCGGUUUGAUAAAAAGAGAGAACUCUGGUUUGGACCAAGGAAUUCGGCCCUAGCAGAAAUCCUGAAAUUCCCACGAGUUACCACUGUAUAGGCAUUAAGCCAUUGGUCUCUUGACAAAAUGAGAGCAUCCAUGAACCAGUGCUGGUGGGGAAUGGCAAUAAAGCCACCAAAAGUGCCUCUCUCGCUUGUCUCACCUGUUCAAAAUACAAUCCUGGGAAACCUGUUUGCACAAUGGAUUUCAUACAGCUUCCAAUGCUCGUGGGUUCAAGCCCUGCAUCCGGCUCUGCGUUGACAGUGUAGAGCCUGCUUCAGAUCCCCUGUCUCCCUCUCUCUCUGCCCGUCUCCAGUGCCUGCUCUCUCUCAAAAAUAAGCAAACAUUUAAAAAAUUAAUAAAAAGGGGGUGCCUGGGUGGCUCAAUCAGUGAAGCGUCUGACUUCGGCUCGGGUCAUGAUCUCACGGUCCGUGAGUUCGAGCCCCGCGUCGGGCUCUGUGCUGAUGGCUCAGAGCCUGGAGCCUGUUUCAGAUUCUGUGUCUCCCUCUCUCUGACCCUCCCCCGUUCAUGCUUUGUCUCUCUCUGUCUCAAAAAUAAAUAAACGUUAAAAAAAAACAAAACAAAACUCUAAAACCCUAAUAGCUUCUAGAAGAAACUAACCCUGCUGUGGUAGAAAGAUCUUUUCACAGCCCGCUCCCCGGGGGCCGACGACCUUAAGCAUCACCCCUUGCCAACCUGGUGAUUUCACCUCUUGGAAGAGACACCUCCGGGGAGGCGGUCUUCAGCCUCGCUGGGAAGGCCCUUCUCAGGAACCGCUAACCACCCUUGUGCCACCAGACGCCACAGAGAACAGACUUGGGUUCACGUGACUUGUCUAACCCUGGCCGGGCCUGCGUACCAUCUGGUGACUCGUUAGCAACCCCUGCACUGGACUAUUACUCAGCCAUAACAAGGAAUAAAGCGCUGACACGCUACGACAUGGCUGAACCUCAAAAACACGGUGCGUGAAAGAAGCCAGACACAAAAGGCCGCACAUAGUGCGCGACUCGAUUCAUAGGAAAUGUACAGAACAGGCCACGCCCACGCCGAGGAGGGGCCCACCCCCCUCAGGCCAGGCCCUCUGGUCAGUUCCAUCUCCACGAUGCUCCGCCCAUCUGCCCAUUGUCACCUACACUCCCCGCCUUCUCAUCGGCCCCGCCCACCAUCUCACUGCCAAGUCUAUCUUCUCGGUUGCCUAACCAGGACCCCCAAGUGCUCUCUCCAGCCUGUCCCCCGCCAAACCUGCCCUGGCAACGGACCCACCCAUCUCGCUAGCCAAGCCGGUGGCCCCGAAGUCCCCACCCCCAUCACCUGUAA